AUGGAUCUGAAAACUAUCAAGGUUCUGUUCUUAUUUGUUUGUUAGGCCGUAUAUCUGAUUAUUGUUUUGUAAUAAAGAACUUACUAAAUACAUAUUUUUAAAACUUAAUAUGAUGAAUUUGAAUUUAAUUAAGUAGAACUUUAUAUUAUCUAUCGAAGCAUUUGGCCUAUAUCCUUAUCAAUUCUCUUCUUUGUCAUUCUAAUAAUUGCCACCUCUUUCUAAAAAAGCUUAUUAUGGUACUAUUUUUGUAAAUCUCGAACUAGUAAGGAUCCUAAUGUUAGAUUAUUCAUACUUUCAUAGAUGAAUAAAUUUAAAUUAAAGUCACUAAUUUGUAUGAUAUUUUUAUUGACUGGAAUAUGCAGUUGUUGCUAUACAGUAACUUGAUAAACUUUAAGAUAUCAGUUCAGCAACAGAAUUUUAUAAAUUAUCAGAAGAUUAUUAGGUUUUCAGUUCUUCUAACAAGAUGAUAAGAUGACUUUAUUUGUUAAGAAGCUUAGGAGCAGGAAUGAGCAAUCUUAACUAAUUCUGGCAGACUUAAUACACAUAAAAAAGGUUCAAAAUCAAGUAACGUGUUUGUUUGGUAAAGCAAAAUAAAAGUCUUUGUUGGUGUAAUUUAAUCAUUUUACCUGUUAAUCCUGAAAAUUACUCCAUUAAUAAUUUUGUAUUACAGGUGGCUAAGUCUUGCUUUGUUCCGGCUCUAUUUGGGCAUGCCAUUGAUGAUGAUUUUAUACAACCUCAUCAUUCAGAUCGUAUAUUUGAAGCUUAUGUUGGAGACAAGAAUAUUAUCAAGUUUGAAGGAGAUCACAAUUCUCCACGCCCACAAUUCUACUUUGAUUCCAUAAAUAUUUUUUUCCACAAUGUUUUGCGUCCUCCAGAGGAUGAGGUGGGGGGAACAUAUUUUGACACAAUGC
rnacentral:misc_RNA from 1 species